rnacentral:miRNA from 1 species
GAGGGGAACUAUCUGGACAAGC